AUUUUUUGCUGAAAUCUCUUUCUCUCUGAUAAAACAGUAUCAAAAACAAUAUGUUCUUUCAAUAUUUUUAAAAUAUCUGCAUAUUUUUGCCAACUUUGAGGGGACAGUAGUUCUGCUGGUUUAUAAUCAACGGGUAUUAUUUUCGUACACUAAGCGGACAUUUUGUUUACGCGAAAAUCUUUUAAUUUUUCGGUAUAUGUCUUUACGAUUUUUGGAGAGUAGGAUUGAUAAUUUUGAUACAAUAACCAGGCAGAACAUGAAGAUCGUUCGUUCUGUUUUUUGCAAUAUAAGCUCAAUAAACUGAAAAGGACCUCAAUUCACAACUCCGUACUAGAGAGGCUUUGUGUCGCAAUAGUAAAACUGUCGGGUUUGCCGAGAACUUUACCUACCACGUUUGCCGUUUUGUUCGCAAGUAACCUGGACGCCGUGAGGGGAUCGGGAUCUUCAUGAGUGCGGGAUUGCAGAAAUUUAGAUAAAAUAGAACAGUUGUGUUUGGAGAAGCGAUCCAAGUCUUUUGUGUCAGGUGUUAUCAAUUACCCAGUGAGUUGAAGUCGAGUCAUAAUAACUUGAAACAAGGUUUUCAACGUCACCGAAGAAUGCUGCUGGAAAUCAUCACUCAUCGGAUAAGAUGACAAUACAAACGAAGAUUGUGAAAAUUCAAUGAAUUCAAAUUUUUCUCGAAACAGAAGGAGAUACGAGAAGCGAGUGGUUGACGCCACUUUAUAUAGUGACUCUCCAACGAGAUGGCCUACGUUUCAGAACUUGGCAGACGGAAAUGCGGGUAGUGAUUCGGAGAACGCUGUGCCAGGAGUUUCAGAUUAGUCAACAGACUAUACCGCACCAUCUUCAGAAUCACUUUCAAUAAGCAAUGUAAGUGACUUAAAAGAAAAUCAUAUAUACGGAAAAGAAAGGGCUGUAAAUCAAUUCCAAAAAAAGCUUCUAAAUAAACGUGAACCAGAAAAGAAACGACGAAAAGAAAAAUAAUUGCACGGCUUUGUAUAUCUUGCGAGAAGUUUAUUGUAAAGCUUUAAGACAUCUCUGUAUAAUUCAUAAAGAUGAACCGGCAGUGAGCACAUAAUUUUGUCUCUCCUCAACAACUUAAUCUAGUGGGCAUAUCCACAUUCGUAUACAUACUUGGCAUACAUUUUUACUAUUUAAUUAUAAAUUCAAAAUAACAAUCAUGUUUUUGUAUUCCGAGUUGGUGCAAAAAUUUUAAAUAAAUUGUGCAAAGAUUCUAAAUUGAUAUCGGGGUUGAAUAAUUUCAUGUUGAUCGCUUGUAUAGUUGACUGUAUAAUCACUGCU